AUACAGCUGAACAGUCCCAAACAGAACGAAGCUCGCGUCCUGGAU
rfam:Schistosoma rodhaini strain Burundi genome assembly, scaffold: SROB_scaffold0000442